rnacentral:rRNA from 1 species
GACGAACGCUGGCGGCGUGCUUAACACAUGCAAGUCGAACGGUGAAGCGCCUUCCUUUUGGUGGGUGUGGAUGAGUGGCGAACGGGUGAGUAACACGUGAGUAACCUGCCCCCUUCUUCUGGAUAACCGCAUGAAAGGGCGGCUAAUACGGGGUGUGCCGGCUGGUCCGCAUGGGCCUGGUCGGGAUAGUUUCAUCUUCGGGUGUUUCGGUGGGGGAUGGGCUCGCGGCCUAUCAGCUUGUUGGUGGGGUGAUGGCCCACCAAGGCGGUGACGGGUAGCCGGCCUGAGAGGGUGGGCGGCCACACUGGGACUGAGACACGGCCCAGACUCCUGCGGGAGGCAGCAGUGGGGGGUAUUGCACAAUGGGCGGAAGCCUGAUGCAUCGACGUCGCGUGAGGGAUGGAGGCCUUCGGGUUGUGAACCUCUUUCUC